AGCAGCCGCGGUAAUUCCAGCUCCAAUAGCGUAUAUUAAAGUUGCUGCAGUUAAAAAGCUCGUAGUUGAAUUUCGGGACCAAUAUGUUGGUCGUGCCUCGGUACGUACUGGCAUUGUUGGUUUCUACCUUCUGACGAACCAGGAUGUCAUUUAUUUGGUGUCUUGGGAAAUCAGGACUGUUACUUUGAAAAAUUAGAGUGUUUAAAGCAGGCUCACGCUUGAAUACAUUAGCAUGGAAUAAUGAAAUAGGACGUUUGAUUCUAUUUUGUUGGUUUCUAGGAUCGACGUAAUGAUUAAUAGGGAUAGUUGGGGGCAUUAGUAUUCAAUUGUCAGAGGUGAAAUUCUUGGAUUUAUUGAAGACUAACUACUGCGAAAGCAUUUGCCAAGGAUGUUUUCAUUAAUCAAGAACGAAAGUUAGGGGAUCGAAGACGAUCAGAUACCGUCGUAGUCUUAACCAUAAACUAUGCCGACUAGGGAUCGGAUGAUGUUAAUUUUUAAUGACUCAUUCGGCGCCUUAAC
rnacentral:rRNA from 1 species